rnacentral:rRNA from 1 species
AUUGAACGCUGGCGGCAGGCCUAACACAUGCAAGUCGAGCGCGCGGCGGACGGGUGAGUAAUGUCUGGGAAACUGCCUGAUGGGGGGGGGUAACUACUGGAAACGGUAGCUAAUACCGCAUACGCUCUGAGAUGCCCAGAUGGGAUUUGCUCGUAGGUGGGGUAACGGCUCACCUAGGCGACGAUCCCUAGCUGGUCUGGGAGGAUGACCAGCCACCCUUGAACUGAGGCACGGGCCAGACGCCUACUGGAGGCAACCGUAGGGAAUAUUCCGAAAUGUACGAAAAUCUGAAGGAGCAAAGCCGCGUGAUGGAGGACGGCCUUCGGGUUGUAAAGUAUGUUAAUCGGGAAGACGGUACCGGGAGAGGAAGCCACGGCUAACUCCGUGCCAGCCGCCGCGGUAAUAC